rnacentral:rRNA from 1 species
CAGCCGCCGCGGUAAUACCGGCGGCCCGAGUGGCGGUCACUAUUAUUGGGCUUAAAGCGUCCGUAGCCGGGUUGGGAAGUCCUCCGGGAAAUCUGGCCGCUUAACGGUCAGAAUGCCGGAGGAUACUCCCAGCCUAGGGGGCGGGAGAGGCCGAGGGGAUUCCCGGGGUAGGGGUGAAAUCCUAUAAUCCCGGGAGGACCACCUGUGGCGGAGGCGCUCGGCUGGAACGCGUCCGACGGUGAGGGACGAAGGCCAGGGGAGCAAACCGGAUUAGAUACCCGGGUAGUCCUGGCUGUAAACGAUGCGGACUUUGUGUCGGACAAGCUAUGAGCUUGUCCGGUGCCGGAGGGAAACCGUUAAGUCCGCCGCCUGGGGAGUACGGCCGCAAGGCUGAAACUUAAAGGAAUUGGCGGG